ensembl:lncRNA
CCCGGCCCGGCCGCCCGCUGGCUCCCACAUUCCUUGAGGGAGAGGUCGUGAGUCACCUCAGGAGAGGCAGGGAAAGAGGAGUCUGCUUUAUUUCAGCGCAGAGGCUGCUGGGACGCGGCGUCCUUAGUGGUUCAGAGGCUGGGCCCGUUAGGCUUUCCUUUGUGAUGCAUGACUCCUGAAUCCGUCUUAGUGCGUGCUGCCCGGGUCAGAGUCCCGGGGUUCACAGAGACUAAGAGCCUCUGCACUAGCAGUCAAUUUGCUCCCAUGCAUCCUUUACUAGGAAUAUGUAUGUACCCCCCUUUUUCUUCCUCAUAGUGCUUGUGCUGAGGGCAAGGACGAUGAGGAAGUAGAAACAGCACAACUCAGGGAACCAGAGCUGAACUGUCUGGGGUCACAGCAGGGUGAGUCAUUGGAGUAACUGUCUGACACCAGUAGUGAUGACUCAUACGUGGGAUGGGUUACAGUUCUGUCUUGUACAAGUUGUUUAGGAAGGUGGAGUAUAGUGUUGAAAGGGUUCAAUUGAGAAAUUGUUGGAAUCAACAUUCAGGGACUGGGAGGCAGGGGCAUUUGGUUGGAAAGACCUGGCUGUAGAGACUGUCAAAUAAGGCCCCUCUGGCUCUGUUGCACACCUGGCCAGCGAAUGGUCAGAGUACCCUGCUGCUGGGUGCCCUUGGCUGGCAACUGUCCUCGUCUUGGUGUGUCAGCCUCACUGGUCUACUCACUGUUUCUGGGAGGUUUGCAGACUGUGCCGGAUGCUGGCCCAGCCAACUCUUUGUGUGACGAGGUGGCUUCAGACUCUGGAUGUGGAAGCUCUGUGGCUCUGAAGGUCACUUCUGGGGACCUGCGGAAGGGACAGAGUGGCUGCUUCAUUCCAUUUCAGCUUCCUUGGGGGAAAGUCCUCCAGCUCUUCUAGAAUCUUGAAAAGCGCUGAUCAGUCAGGUUUUGGGACUGAGGGCCUGUGCAUUGGUGAACGUUUUCAGUUCCCAUUGUCUUGAGCCUUCUCUUCAGUGUUAGGAUGCACUCAUCAGGACAGGUCCAGCCAGCAGCCCCCCAGCCCUCCCUUCCCCUCAGGGUGGUCUGCCCAGUGUGGGGUCAUGCACUCCUGUCUGGGGAUUAUUCUACUCAGGGUGACCCUGCCACCCCACAGGUGUCUGUCAUUUGGCGCAGCCUCCAGCCUUGUUGGGGAGAGGUCGCAGGGCAUGUGGUGGGAAAUGCCUCUGGUGUUUGCAUCUUUAACGCCGGCUGCCUUACUCAGGCCCUGGGGUGGCAGGCCGCAGGCUGACUUCACCGGCAGGUCACGCAGGAAUAAGGGAGAAAGGAACCUAGUGGAGUCCAGUGACCCAGGUAGUGCUGGGCCUGGGGGUGGAUGGAGUUGCAGCUUGGGGCCUGGCGGGAUCUGGCUGCCACCCCGGCCUUGACCUUCCCGGCUUGCUCUUCCCUUGUUGAUCUCGACCGUCUGCUGUUCCUGCACACUCUGCUCCUCAACUCUGCCUGCUUUAUCCUCUUCUGUUCUCCUCACACACCCUGCCCACCCCAGAGACAGGGUGACGAUUGUCUCGGCCUCCACCAUGUCCCCCAGGUGCCCACCUGGUCCCCAAGCUCUCCCCAAGGAGGGGUGGGCUUUUGCCAGCUCACAGCCACUGCAGUGGGGUGGGUCACUUGGAAGGGACUGUAGGUGGUAGGAACUGUGAUUGCAGUUUCCUCAACAGUCUCGUUGGAUUUGCAGAAAGUACCUUCAUGAGAGCUUGGCAAGCCCUCAGUAUAUGCUAUACUAUAGCUGAGACAUUUUAUCAAGGUUUUUAAUUUUUUUUUGCUUUAAAAAAUCAGGAAUUUAAUUUUGUGUUAUUAUAAAUUCAGUUAUGUGUUUAUACGAAGUAUCUUUUUAAAAAUAAAAUAACAGUUUAUUGCUGUAUAAAUGAAACACCCCUGUGAUCCUCUGGGGCAGGGGUUCAAAGCUGGGCCCCUGUUGACUUUUGGGGCUGGGUACUUCUUGUCUUGUGCAUUGUAGGAUUUUAGCAGAUGCCAGCGGGACCCCCACCAACAAGUGUAACAACCAAAAAUGUCUUCAGAUAGUGCCAAGCAUUUGCUGGGGGACAAAAAUUCCCCCUGGUUGAGAAGUAAUGCCCUGGAACAGCAUUUUCCAAACCACCUUGUGUGGAACCCAAGUUUAAUGGGAUAGGCGUAAGUUUUUACAUAUUCAUCAGUGCAGCUAUUUUAAGUUGUAUUUUUAGUCAGUGUUAUGUGUAGUUUGAUGUUUUACAUAAUUGACGUGUUUCACAUUUUCAGCAUUUAUCUAUGGUCUUAAUACAGUUCUGUGAUUCUGGUUUCGUGUGUGUGGCUGUCCCUGCUGGUGUAGAUGGAGCCUUUCAAGCACGUGGGUCUUGUUGUUUCCUGUGUUUAUUUGAUCAUCCUCUGGCCUGCCAGGCUGAACGCCAGCCGGAUCAGGGCAGGGACGAGGCUGCCAGGCCCAGGUCCACAGUGUUCUGUCGCUGAGCUCAGAUGGUGCCCUUGGGAGAAAGAUGGUACCAUGAUAUAACCCUUGCCUUGAAGGGUUGGGGUUCCUAUUGAACCUAAAACAUACUCAUUGACCAUUAAUAGCAAGUAUAUCAUGAAAGUUUUAAAUGUCAGUUUUUAAUGAUGAGAGUGGUAGUCAUGGUUUUAAAAACAAGGCUGUGAUUUGAGUUUAAAUUCUACCACCUGUGACAGGCCUUCCAGCUCAGAAUUUACUGAAACGGAUUCUGAAACCAUUAAACUCCUUUGUUGUUGGAAUUUUGCUGUGUCUCUCUUGAACAUAUGUG